UACGUAGGGACCAAGCGUUGUUCGGAUUUACUGGGCGUAAAGGGCGCGUAGGCGGCGUGACAAGUCACUUGUGAAAUCUCUGAGCUUAACUCAGAACGGCCAAGUGAAACUGUUGUGCUAGAGUGCAGAAGGGGCAAUCGGAAUUCUUGGUGUAGCGGUGAAAUGCGCAGAUAUCAGGAGGAACACCGGUGGCGAAGGCGGGUCUCUGGGCCGAUACUGACGCUGAGGAGCGAAAGCGUGGGGAGCGAACAGG
rnacentral:rRNA from 1 species